AUAGAAAGAGAUACUGAAAAUUCUCUUUCUUGUUCUGUGGAAACAAACUUUGCUUUGUUCCUCUCAAGGUCCGAGUUCAGAGCUUGUGGAGUCGCUCAGAGGAGACGAAUGAGACCAAACUGGAGCUGAAACAUCCCUUCUCCUCCACACUCAGCCGCAUGUCCCUUCACACUCUGACACACAGCUCACAGAGAGAACAACGCAGCAGCCGCCAAACCCAUCUGUCAUGGGACAGCACAGUCCCUGCCAAUAUCUCCAUCAGCCUGAACAAGCAGUGGCAGAACAACUCCAGCAGGGGGCAGGCGUGUGCUGUGUUCUCAACACAACAGAUGGCAGUGUCUUCUGUCAAAGGUUGUGUGUCGGUGGGUCAGGAGGGAAACUCGUAUUCACAGAAUGCAGAGCUAAGAUGGGACAACAGGAGCGUCAAGCAAGGCAUGAAGUACCAGAGGGGUCCACGGGGAAUGCACAGCCUUCAAGUGAAUGUCGGCCUGGACAAAGUGUCUCCUGCGCCCUGUCCUUCACACACACUCCUGACUAAGAUUCAGACCAACCUCAGGGAUCGCCUGGAGCACACAGUGCUGCUGGGCCUGUGUCCCCCACAGCCUACUUUGUCGUGGUCAGGAUCUCACAGAGUGAACUCCCGAGAGGAGUUGCUUUACACACAGUCUCGCCUCUCGGUGACAGGGCGGCCCUACCAUUGCAGCCUCACCAUCGCCUUGACCAACUCCUCCACUGCUCAGUGCUCCAACAUGUCUCUGUUCUCCGAGUCUAGGAUUGGUAAUUGGAGUGUGGAGGUGGGGGGCAGUGUCCUGUCUUGGCCCCGGGGGUCUGGUCUCCAGGUGCAGGCCAGACUGGACCGCAGAGAGAAGAUGUGGCUGAACGGAUCUGCAGAGGGACGAUGUCUGCAGACGACAGCUGGUUACAUGAACGGUAAGUACAGAUUCAUCUGAAAAAUACACAUCAAAAAGACAA
rnacentral:lncRNA from 1 species